GAUGAACGCUGGCGGCGUGCCUAAUACAUGCAAGUCGAGCGAACAGACGAGGAGCUUGCUCCUCUGACGUUAGCGGCGGACGGGUGAGUAACACGUGGAUAACCUACCUAUAAGACUGGGAUAACUUCGGGAAACCGGAGCUAAUACCGGAUAAUAUAUUGAACCGCAUGGUUCAAUAGUGAAAGACGGUUUUGCUGUCACUUAUAGCUGGAUCCGCGCCGCAUUAGCUAGUUGGUAAGGUAACGGCUUACCAAGGCAACGAUGCGUAGCCGACCUGAGAGGGUGAUCGGCCACACUGGAACUGAGACACGGUCCAGACUCCUACGGGAGGCAGCAGUAGGGAAUCUUCCGCAAUGGGCGAAAGCCGGACGGAGCAACGCCGCGUGAGGGAUGAAGGUCUUCGGAUCGUAAAACUCUGUUAGUAGGGAAGAACAAAUGUGUAAGUAACUAUGCACGUCUUGACGGUACCUAAUCAGAAAGCCACGGCUAACUACGUG
rnacentral:rRNA from 1 species